GACGAACGCUGGCGGCGUGCUUAACACAUGCAAGUCGAACGGAAAGGCCCUGCUUUUGUGGGGUGCUCGAGUGGCGAACGGGUGAGUAACACGUGAGUAACCUGCCCUUGACUUUGGGAUAACUUCAGGAAACUGGGGCUAAUACCGGAUAGGAGCUCCUGCUGCAUGGUGGGGGUUGGAAAGUUUCGGCGGUUGGGGAUGGACUCGCGGCUUAUCAGCUUGUUGGUGGGGUAGUGGCUUACCAAGGCUUUGACGGGUAGCCGGCCUGAGAGGGUGACCGGCCACAUUGGGACUGAGGGACGGCGCAGACUCCUACGGGAGGCAGCAGUGGGGAAUAUUGCACAAUGGGCGGGAGCCUGAUGCAGCAACGCCGCGUGCGUGAUGACGGCCUUCGGGUUGUAAACCGCUUUCGCCUGUGACGAAGCGUGAGUGACGGUAAUGGGUAAAGAAGCACCGGCUAACUACGUG
rnacentral:rRNA from 1 species